GUCUCCGGCCAUGCCACCCUGAACAAGUCUGAUCUCGGAAGCUAAGCAGGGUCGGGCCUGGUUGGUACUUGGAUGGGAGACCACCUAGGAAGACCAGGGGCUGUAGGCA
rnacentral:rRNA from 1 species